rnacentral:rRNA from 1 species
GACGAACGCUGGCGGCGUGCUUAACACAUGCAAGUCGAACGGAAAGGCCCUGCUUGCAGGGUGCUCGAGUGGCGAACGGGUGAGUAACACGUGGGUGAUCUGCCCCUUAUUUUGGGAUAAGCCUGGGAAACUGGGUCUAAUACUGGAUAGGACCAUGCUGUAGGUGGUGUGGUGGAAAGAUUAGUUUCGGUAAGGGAUGGGCUCGCGGCCUAUCAGCUUGUUGGUGGGGUAAUGGCCUACCAAGGCGUCGACGGGUAGCCGGCCUGAGAGGGUGGACUGCCACAUUGGGACUGAGAUACGGCCCAGACUCCUACGGGAGGCAGCAGUGGGGAAUAUUGCACAAUGGGCGCAAGCCUGAUGCAGCGACGCCGCGUGGGGGAUGACGGCCUUCGGGUUGUAAACUCCUUUCAGCCAUGACGAAGCCCUUGUGGUGACGGUAGUGGUAGAAGAAGCACCGGCUAACUACGUG